GCGUGGUUUAUGACUUUGUGGCUUUAAUAACUAGUGAAGACCCCGCUUCCCUUUCCACAGAAUCGCACGCAUUGGCUGAGCCGAAAACAAAGUGUGGGAAUACGUCUCCCAUUGGCUAAAUUACUGCCUGUAGUAGUGUUAGCGCAAAUAUUUAGACAACGGAGAUCCAAUUACUACAAUGUGAUAUAAGCAAAUAUAUUAUGAGUAGAACAUUUGACGCUGAAUUCCUUUCGUAAAUAAAUAUGCUGUUGUUAUUUUCAGCAACAAGUACGCAAACAGGCGUCGAUGGCUGGUAGGGGUGGUGGUGUCUGCCAAUUUUGCUGCGAAAGGCAUGUUUUUGUGUGAUAAUUCGACUGGAGAAGUUAACUUUUUAUUCUGUCGUUGGCAGUCACGAACAUUAGUUAGUUAUCGGUAAUGGAAAAGUACAUGUUUACUAAACUUGUAUCUAAAAUGGGUAUAACCUCUGCAAGAGUUUUACGGUGGGUCUGUAAAACGAUUAUAUUAUCUAGCUAGUAUACUUGAGACAGGAUCAUAGUUCAAUCAACAUGUACCAUUGAUUUUAGGUAGCUAGUUAACCUGCUUGCCAACAACUGUUAUUAUCCAGCUGCUUGAUAACCCGCUUGAUAUAGUUUCCUAAACUCUGCAUCUACAUAACAGCCAAGCAGAUGAGUACGUGCGGUUAUCCCUGGUUAAAUGUACAGGACGGGUACAAGUAAAGCAGUAAUUUGCCUAGAACUGGCAGCAACAUCAAUUAAGUUACCCCUGGACAAAGUACGUUUUUUUAUAUUAGUUUUGAUGACAAGGCAUCUCACCUGUUAAUCAAAUAACCAAAUGCCCUGGUGUUGCUCAGGUAACGUGCCCUAUGAAAACUGGCUGUGUGUUAUUUCUUCAAGAAUAUGACGUCAAAUUAUCCGUGUUGAACAAGAAGCCGUAUCAAAGCACUCUGAAGGCCUUAGAAUGAAUGCACGCUUGGCCUCGAGUCUCACCUAGGACUCGAAGACCUUGCUGUUCAGUUUGGGUGCAUGGAUGCAAUCAAAGUAGCCACCCAAAUACUAGAACGGUAUGAAGUGAGCCUUCCUGCUGCUCAGCAAAAAGAUGUGGACCUGUCAAAACCACUCUUCACUACAGCUGCUUUGAACUCUGCAUGCAAAUGCUUGAAGAUCAAAGUGGACAGGAAGCUGUUAGCGUCAUCUGGUGCUAAAAAGGGAAUCUUGACAGGCUGUGCACCCAGCUCCAGAAACUGGGACAGGACAUCUGCUGUCAAAUGAUAAAGGGGUUUGACUAACAUAUGGUGGGAAAUGGGUGAAAGCCCAGGAAGGGCCUUUGGAUUUAAAAAUCUACUUCCGAGCAUUAACGCUCUGUUAACUAACAAUACCUUUUUUGUGUGACAUACGCUUCAGAAAGCUGGGGUUUGAAUUAUUGUGGCCUUUUUCAUAGUGGCCAUUUGUACUUUUGCCCCUGGUGUGGAUUUUUACUUUCCUGGGUGAAAAGAGAAUCUAGGUCAUUCCUCUCUCUCAUUGUUGUCGUGGUUACUGCCUGGUGGGAGAGAAUGGAUGUUCUAUUUUAGGACUGAAAACUUCAGUGAGUUGGUCUCCCAAUCAGGGAUGUCUCGAUCGCGGCAUACAACAUGCCUAUUACAAGCAAUCUCAGAAUGUCGAGGCUGAAAUCAGUUUCUGCUGGCAGUAGGUAGAGUGAGUUCAUGUAUGGUCCUCUCUCUCUCAGGUAUGGUCUUUAAUUAUCUCUUGAUUUUUUUCCUCAAUAGAAGAAGCCGCUCCACUGAAGAAUCCAGUUAAAAGGCACAGAAAAGACAAACCCUCAUAGAAAGUAUAGAACAAAAAGAGGAAGAGGAAGACCUGCCGACGUCUCAAAAGCAGCAGAAAUAGGACUCUGAGGAGUGCGCUGCACAAGAUUACGAAGAAUGGAAGCGAAGAAUCUUGGAAAAUGCCCUUAAAGCCAAUGCAUAAAAGUUAAUUUGAUAGUCAUCUCAGCCAUAAAGUGGAAAUGUUUUCACAACCUUGGGCUUGUGAUCAGUGAAAAUGCUGUCUACAGUGCUGAGUAGUGAGGCUGGAGCUCUUGUUUUCUUUGCAUGUGAACUCUAAUGAGCAGAUAGACGUCUAGUAAUGAAGCACAUAUGAGCUUGCUUCUGAUUUGAGAAAGUUUCCUGAAAGGUGUUUUUAUUAGUGUUUAUUUUUUUGAUCAUGGUUUAUUGUUUCAACCAUGGUUAUUUUAUGCUAUAAGCCUUAUCCUUGUAAGCAAGCAUGAUAUGUUUGUAUUCCAUACAGUACUUUGACAUUUCUGCCCCUCAGUGGCAGUGUAUGAGACUUACUUUAAGAGAAUUGAGCUGUGCUGUUGCUGGUCAAUGUGUUGGAUUUGUACAGUUUUAAGAUUAACAUUCUUUGGCGUUUUGGCGUUCACAAUUUAUGGUGGAUGACAGACAGUCUUAACAGUUGGCAUUAGCAACGUUUUUUAUUUAGACCACAGUGAGUACCACAGUAUGAGUUAGAAAUGGUUCUUAUAGUUUUUGUCACCAUUCAUUUUUUCCAUCUGGAAUUUUAGAACUACUUCCUAAGUUUUGAUAACCACACAUCUCUCGAACAAGGUGACUUUUAUCAAUUAUUAGCAUUUUGAAUGAGUAAAUUGUGGCGAAUAUAUUGAUGACUCACAUCCGAGAGAAUUACACAGCUAUCAAAACGUCACACCUACAUCUAACACACAAUUUAAUUCGAAUUGUCAUUCAAGUGGCACAGCGGUCUAAAGCGCUGCAUCUCCGUGCUAGAGGUGUCACUACAGACACCCUGGUUUGAUUUCAGGCUGUAUCACAACCGUCCGUGAUUGGGAGUCCCAUAGGGCGGUGCAUAAUUGGCCCAGCAUCAUCCGGGUUAGGGUUUGGCCGUCAAUGUAAAUAAGAAUUUGUUCAUAACUGACUUGCCUAGUUAAAUAAAAUAAAAAAAUCACAAUGUGAAAAAUGAAUGGCGGAAAAACCAUUGGAAGCAUUUGUGUUUAUGGGUGUUAUGGCGAUUCCACUGUGCCAGACUAUUGACAAUAGUAUAAGUCUGGCCAUUUGUGGCUUCACUUAUUUUAAUAAAUUAACAUUUAUAGUCAUUGAGUUAUUUGGUGAGUUCAAGUGGAGGUGGGGACACUGUCACAAAAUAAUGCUAUAUGGGAACACCAUACUGUCAGUCAGGUUGUGUAGCAUGCAAGCAAGUAGCCCAUUCAAAGCCUUCAUAGAAGGAAAGAUUGACAAGACAAGGUCAUCUGUGUGAUUGUAACAAUUCACUUACCAUAUUAAAUAAACCAAAAAUGAAAGCCUUGUGAA